UUUAAACAAAACAAGUGUAUUUGAGUAGAACUUGUGAUUUCGUCUUUCCUCAUAUCUCUGUGUCGUCAGAUGUUACAGGAGAUGCUACAUAUUUGAAGGUAUCGACUGACUGUGUACAUACAUUGGUUGAUGAGUUACUGAAAGUAAGAACUACUACUAAGCUAAUCUACAUGGCAGAUGAAGGAUGAAUGAAGCAGAGAUAGAUUACCCAGGCCUAUGUGAGCCUUGACACCACCAAGAUUUCUAACUCGAAACAGGCCAGAUUUCUUAAAAGCACAGUUGAGGGUAAAUCCGAAAUCUGAUUCCAAAACGCAGGUCGGUCGGCCUAGCCGCCAUGUGCCGCC